rnacentral:SRP_RNA from 1 species
GCUGGGUGCUGUGGCCAGCACCUGUAGUCCCAGCUACUUGGGAGGCUGAGGCAGGAGAAUCACUUGAGCCCAGGAGUUGGAGGUUGCUGUGAGCUGUGAGCUGUGACGCCACAGCACUCUACCCAGGGUGACAGCUUGAGACUCUGCCUCAA